rnacentral:sRNA from 1 species
AGCACGGCCUUGCUACGAUGUCAUAAUGUUUGAUGUUGACAGUAAGGAUCCAACACUGGGAAUGAGUUGUCCGCCCCCAGCAUUUGUGGAGCAAUCUUUUCUACAGAAGGUUAAAAGCAUCUUGACUCCUGAAGGGUCAGCAGAUCCUCCUCCUCCUGCAGGCUCACCAUGGCUUCAAAAGAAUUCAGUGUUCUGCAAGACUCUUCAGUCCUACUACUGCUCUCUAUUGAGAUUGGAUCAUGUGCCCAUAGUCCAAGAGAUUUCCUUCAAAUCUGUGUACCAG